CCCCCCUCCCUCAGAGGAAGACGACUCCAGUUCAAGGCCUGGAGUUAGGGACAAAGGUGUUUCCAGGAAAGCUCCCCAGUGCCUCCUCACGGAUCCCAGGAAAGGGGGGGAGGGGGCAUCGGCUGCCAAGCACAAAGUGGUUUUUUCUGCUCACCCUCUCUGCUUCCUGAGCCAGGUCCAAAAUUGAUUAAAACUAAGUAAAAAGCGCUGCCCAGGGAAUGACAAAAUUGCUAAAAUUCUCUUUUCUUCCCUCAUUCUAUUGUUCUCUCUCCAUCUGGUGCUCCAGAGAUCAGCUAAAGUCACUGGUUACUGUGGAAACCGCCCCCCACCGUACCCCCUGCGCCCGCUGCAGUCGCCUGCCUGCCCCCAGGCCCAAGGGCUCUCUCAGCGGCUGGGCCCUGUCCGGCUCCAGUCUCCCCCACCGGCACCCCCAGACACACCUGCCUGCUGGGGCCUGGGGCCCAGGCCCCUUGCAAAACAAGAGGGAGGAAGACCGUUUCCCAAACUUGCCUCAAACUCUGACUUGGCCCCAAAGUCUAAGCAAAGUGCGCAGAGAAAGUGAAGAAGGGAAAGCACACGGAGGCGGAAACAGGAUGGGAAGAUGACAUGAAGAGGACGGAAAGGGGAAAAGAACUCAAACCAUGAGAAAGAAGGCAACAGAGAGCGCGAGACGGAGAAAAGUGAGAUGGGCCGCCCCUCCCGCUGCUGACCAGGAAGUCCUGCCAGCCCCCAGGGCGCCCAAAGUGCUGCCCACCCCGCUGCCCGAAGACGGCACGCUGCCCACCCUCCACCUCUCCUGUCCUUCACGCGUCGGGUCUACCUUGGGCCUCUCAACUCAGAUUUUCUUUUCCCUUUGACAAAAUUUGUCUUUGGUUAAAAGAGAGAGACAGAGAGAGAGAGAUGAAGGAAGCCAAGGCCCAGAGCCCGCCCUUGUCCUUGGAACAUUCAACCUGGGGAAGGGACAGGGGUGGGAAGGGGGG